GUUUCUAAGUAUUGAUCGCAAGGGAAGGGAAAGGGAUUGUUGUCCCGCUUUACCCUUUCGGAAGGCGUUCGGUAUAGGUCCUUGCAGUUGCCUCAUGAACAAAAUACGAGCGUAUGAAAUAUCAGACCAGAUUUGUGAUUUGAGUGAGGAGUUCCUAACAAAUACAAUACAGCAUAACACAGUGUAUUUCACGAGUGCACAUCGUAAUAGUGAACUAUGCAGCUGCACUUCACAAAACUGAAAUAUGGACGUGAAAAUGGAAUAACUGCCACCACAGCGCAAGAAUAAUGCUUCAUUUUUAUAGUGAUUGGAUGUAUGUGCUGCCAUUGAAGAACACCACAUACAGCUAACCAGCGUAGGCGACACUCCGCACCAAUUGUGUGCUAGUACCAGUAUCUACCAAGGUUGAAACAUGAAGUAAAACUUGACUAAAGCAAGAUAUGCGAAGUCCAUGGCAAUACAAGGGCAAUAAAUAGGAACAUUGCUUUUAUUAAGUAGAUGAAUUUUAAUGAAUGCUAAUAUAAAAUAAUGAAGUUUAAUGUCUGUUAUACAUUGAUCAGCCAAAACAUUAUGACCACACCCAGUUGCAACGUUGGAUGCCACCUUGUGGUGCUGCAUGCAUGUGAUGUGGCAGCAAAAGUGUGUAAGCAGAGCAAACAUGGACAGGGGUAACUCUAGUGAAGAUAUGGGCUGCAAAUGGGGAAAUCCACUGAGAUAAGUGACUUUGACAAAGGGCAUAUUAUUAUUACAUAGAGCCCAUGAAUAAGUAUCUCAAACAUGGUGAAGGUGGUCAAAUGAUAGCAUGCUACUGUUAUGAGCAUCUACAGAAAGAGGUAGAGAGAUAGUGAAACUACAACUAGGUGUUAAAUGAUUCAUGACCUGUGCAUAGAUGUCUAAUACCACCACAAACUUACCAACACCUUGUUCAAUCCCUGAUACACAGAAUCAGUUGUAUAUUUUAUUCCAGCUACGAAGAAACAAGUUAACUAGGUGUUAAAUGAUUCAUGACCUGUGCAUAGAUGUCUAAUACCACCGCAAACUUACCAACACCUUGUUCAAUCCCUGAUACGCAGAAUCAGUGAUGUAUUUUAUUCCAUCUACGAAGAAACGAGUUAACUAGGUGUUAAAUGAUUCGUGACCUGUACAUAGAUGUCUAAUAUCACCACAAACUUACCAACACCUUGUUCAAUCCCUGAUACACAGAAUCAGUUGUAUAUUUCAUUCCAGCUACGAAGAAACAAGAUAAUGAACAGGUGGUCAUAAAGUUUUGGGUCAUCACUGUAUACGUAGAUGUUUCUGUUGAUUUAUGUUUUACCUGAUUCAUUUAUUUCAUGUGAUAUCUGUAACUGUUAGCGUUUUCAUAUAACUCAUUUACAAAUUUGACAACCUAGAGUAAUUAGAAUGUACAAGUAUAGAUUAUGUUGUUGUAUAUUUUUACCUGAUGUGCUUGAAGGCUUAAAAAUAAAAGUUGAAUAAUGACAUA